GACGAACGCUGGCGGCGUGCCUAAUACAUGCAAGUAGAACGCUGAAGAGAGGAGCUUGCUCUUCUUGGAUGAGUUGCGAACGGGUGAGUAACGCGUAGGUAACCUGCCUUGUAGCGGGGGAUAACUAUUGGAAACGAUAGCUAAUACCGCAUAACAAUGGAUGACACAUGUCAUUUAUUUGAAAGGGGCAAUUGCUCCACUACAAGAUGGACCUGCGUUGUAUUAGCUAGUAGGUGAGGUAAUGGCUCACCUAGGCGACGAUACAUAGCCGACCUGAGAGGGUGAUCGGCCACACUGGGACUGAGACACGGCCCAGACUCCUACGGGAGGCAGCAGUAGGGAAUCUUCGGCAAUGGGGGCAACCCUGACCGAGCAACGCCGCGUGAGUGAAGAAGGUUUUCGGAUCGUAAAGCUCUGUUGUAAGUCAAGAACGGGUGUGAGAGUGGAAAGUUACACUGUGACGGUAGCUUACCAGAAAGGGACGGCUAACUACGUG
rnacentral:rRNA from 1 species